rnacentral:pre_miRNA from 1 species
UUAACUGAAAUUCGUAUGAAAUUGGAAAGUUUGCGCUCGUCUGCCGCUAGGGGCGCUGAUCCAACUGCAUACAAAAUUUGAGUUA